GGCAGGGCAGGGAGGCUGAGGCUGGGGCCUGGAGUGAGUGCACUAAGCUCACGUGGUCAUGGCCAGGCUUGGGCUGGGAAAGCAGACCUGAGAAUGGACAGACAGACAUGGGAAGGGGGCUCAUGGUGAGAUUCAGUGACUUCUUGGCCUUGUGGUGAAAGAGGAAAGGAUGCUUUAUGGUGGUGCUUACUUUAUCAGACGUGAGUGAAUGGUAAGUGUUGAUGUUUUCACCAAGUGACCUUGGAGGAGAAACAGCUGGAUGAGGGAGGGUGAAGAGCCAGCUUGGACCAUCUUGAAUGAGCUGCGGUUUGUUAUGGGGCGGUAUCAGGAGAAGCCUCCUUUACUCAUGACUUCCACAGCUCAGUUUUCACAGAAGUGAGGCUUAUUAGCUGCACAUCAUAGAGACGGACCUGGGGUGCUCUUAAUCUUCUUCUCCCCUAUCACCCUAACAACUAGUGGAGAUGUUCCUUAGACGUCAGCUGGAAUCAAAAAGUGGGCAAGUUCUGAACAACCCGAAGCUGCUAGCUCACCCAUGCUGAAAAUUCUGGGUGGACUGAAAAAAAAAGGAGGAAACAGAUCACCUCUUUCUAGGUGCUUCCAUGAUAAAGACAUUUCACAGUCAUGGAAUUACGUAAUAUGUGGUCCUCCGCUGUUGAGGUUCAUCCGGGCUGCAGCAUGGACCAGUGCUAGGUGCUCGUGAAGGCUGACUACAAAUCCACCAUAUGGAGAUGCACGUUAGGAAAAAAUCCCACUCAUCAGCUGAUGGGCAUCUGGGUUGUCGAGGGACUUUUUCUUGGAAAGGCAAUGCAUACAGCGCUCAGAGGGAGAAUGGACUAUAACAUGGUUUAAUCCUAGAGCAGCUUUCACACCAGACCUCCUGAGCUUAACAGGGAGCCCAGGCCAGCUCCUCUCACUCUGAGCAAAAGCUGCUGCAUGCAUUCCUAGCUCCACUUCAGAGAGAAUGACACUGAGUCCUAGGAAGACAGGAACUUGUGCUAAAAGCCAUACACAUGCCACGAAGCAGAGGAGAACUCAUAGUUCCAGACGUGCAUGUGUCCCACAGCCAUCUCCGCCAAUUCAUCAAGACCAUUUUGUAUCAUCUAAGAUGACGUUGAUUGUGAAGACGUGUUUCUGAUGCACCACUAAGAAUGAGAACAUGCUGCCAAGUAAACUAUCGUAUAUGACUUCCUGGAACCAUCGAUCGUAGGAUGCAUUCCACAUUCAGAGGUGUUAAAAUGGUAGCAAACAUGCGCCCCAGAGCAGAUGCCAUGCAUUCCUUUUUCAGCCAGUGCUGGGCAGUCCUGGCGUGCCCAUGCAUCCUCCCUCCCUCUGUGCAGUCCUGCCUCCUUCCCUCUGACUCUUAUCUUGAUGCACAAUCAUCCAGGGACCCCACACUAUCCCCCAGAAUCCUCUCUCUCCCUUUCUUUCCCACUUUGUCAUCUAAACAGUCACUCCUCCUGGACAGGCUCUAAGGGCUCCUCACACUGUCAAGCCCUCUCUCUGGCCUCUUCCUUGUCCAUCAGCACGCCUGCAGCCUCUCCAAGCCUCCACACUGCCUGCUCAUCUGUGGGAUGGUAUCGCUGCUUCCUGAAAGCCUCUGAUGUGGAUCCCCAGCAUCUACAGAGAGUCAGAACUCCUCUGUUGGACAACUGGGUCCUGGCUUGUUCCGAGGUCUGGUUCCAGGCCCGGGUCCCACACACCGUGUGCUUCUGCAUUCUGGUAGGCUUGCUGUUGGAGGGGCUCACCUGGACUCCCUGCCUCAUCCAGAGUUCCCCUCCAGGAACGCUCCUUCUAUAAUCACAGUUGGGAGACCCAGUGACGUGGCUUCACCCCAUCACUUUCCUGGGCAGCAUCCUUGCUUUGGAACUCGAGCGGGGUGGGGAGCAGCAGAGUUGGAUUAAAGUGUUCCUGGACCUCCUUCCCGAUGCCACCUGGACACCAUAAACAUCCACUCCCACCUUCACCAUCAACUGCAACGCUGCGGUUAUCACAUCACCAUCGUCAUCACCCUCAUCUGCACGUCCCUUGGUAGACGCACCUCUGGAGGACAGACAUCUUACCACUGUGCUAACAAGGCCCAAACAGAGUAGGUGGUCUACACUAGCUGGCUGAGUUGAAACCAGGAUUCAGGCAGAGCUGUUCUCGUGAGGAACAGAGGGCAAAAAUGACCCUGCUCUAGAAACUGAGCCUGUUGGCUGUUGGGGGCAGUAGGAGUUGCUGUACACAUCAUUAAGGAAGAAUGGCACUGACAUCUCUUUGACAUCUGUGCUUCAGAUUCAGCUGAGCAGAGCAGCUCCUGCAGGCUCCUCUGAGCAGGGCAGAGCUGCCUUCAGACAGGCUCAGAUUGCCGGAAACCUUUACUUCCCAUGCUGAGAUCAAACCCCCUUGCUUCUUUAUACGAUUGCAGCCCUUGGCAUCUCUUCUAUUCAUUGUGAGUUUGAUAAAUGAGGGAACCAGGGAAGUCCAACGAGUGACUCAAAUGUACUGCGGCUUUAUGAAGGAGGCAAAGGAGAAAGUCUAUUGAAGAGGGAAGGAUGGACGUCGCGCUCCCAGACUUCAGGCUCUUGCUGUUCUCUCCCCUUGGAGAAUUUUGAAAUAAAUGAGACUUGA